rnacentral:lncRNA from 15 species
CGGUUCUGAGCGCUAGCUAACUUACAUUAGCAUGCUUAUACCGUAAACUAAGAAAACAUUAUUCGUGUUAAACAUUAAAUUGCUACUAAAAUAUGUUUCUAAAAUGAUUUUAGGUGAGAAAUAGGUAACGCAGUAACAGAAUAUUGCUUCGUAUUUGAUCAGCACUGCCUAGUUUGACAGUUUGAUCUGCGGUGCACUUGACGGGCUCACUGAGAAUGACUUUAUCAUCUAUUUUACUCUAAAUGGGACCAUCAUUUACUAAAUGAACAUCAUGCUGAAUGGAAGAAGACUGAAACUAGAGAUUGAGACCAUAAACUCAUUAGGAAACUCUUUAUUGAGCCAUGCAUAUGAAGAUGUUUCAGAAUAUUACGUUAAAAGUGCAUCAACUUUGCACAUCUGAACUGCCGGUGCAGGGAGAUGUAACUGUAUCUUUUCCCACAGAAAUUCUUGGGAAUAGAGAUGACCUGAAGAUGAUCUCAGUGAGCUGAAAUACUAAAGAAUUUUUUUUAUAGUUAUUUUUACAGUUGUAUUUUGUCCUUGAUUUUCGUGACACUCAGCAACAACACACUGAAUUCUCAUUACCUCUCUAUGCCAUCUCAUUACAAACAGAUCACACAUGUAGCUCCAAUAUCUCGCUCCACUUCAUUAUUAUUAUUUUUGCAUCUCAAUACAAGAAAGAAAUAUCAGAUUCAGUUGUUGCCAUUAUCACCUUACAAUGAAUGUCUGAAAGCAAUUGCCUCUUUUACAGAUAAAAUAUGAUGAGCAGGGCUGGCUGGCUUUUGUUCCUGCUUUCAGGGUCACAGUCAGUUUGAAGCCUGUGGUGUCGGUUGGUUGCUACGGGCUACGAGGCAGAGAUUGACUGAUGGUGGCAUUCGCUCUCUUUGUGUGGCAGCUCAAACUGGGAAAAAAAAAAAAGAGAUUGAAAGACAGGAGCCAAAACAGCAUGCCAGCCACAGACAGGCUGACACGGAGGCUCCCCACAACAAACUGGGCCAGCUCCGUUUGGUGGCCAACACGCAGCUGCGAUCAAAGACCGCUUCUCCAGAGGGAGCAGGGAGGCCUGGUGGCGAGGCCUACUCUGUUCGUAACUGGGAGGUCACAGGUUUGAGUCCAACAGCAGCCGGUGUGUCAAGUAGCGGUCAGGUACCCCGCUGCAUGCCUACCUGCUCUCUCUCUAACUGUACUGGAUACAUGCAGAAAAUGUAAAUGUGGCGCACAAACGCCCCCAAGGAGGUGACAUGUUUCCUGUUGCAAACAUAGCUUGUCGUGUGACAGUCCAACCAUCUGGACCAUGGGCUCCGUGUUCAAGGGCAGAUGAAAGCCAUUUCCCCGCUCUUUAGGUUGUUUUUCCCUCUUCUCCCCCUCCACCGAAUGCCGAUUCUGUGCUGAUUUCUGACCUGAUAUUUUGACCUAGAUGAAAUAAUCA